GGGCUCGGCGGGGGAGCGACUCAUGGAGCUGCCGUAAGUUUUACCAACAGACUGCAGUUUCUUCACUGCCAAAAUGACAUCAUUUUCCACCUCUGCCCAGUGUUCAACAUCUGACAGUGCUUGCAGGAUCUCUCCUGGACAAGUCAAUCAGGUACGACCAAAACUGCCACUUUUGAAGAUUUUGCAUGCAGCAGGUGCGCAAGGUGAAAUGUUCACUGUUAAAGAGCAAAGUGCAGAGGAAAGUUCCACUUCCAGGAAAAGAACUACAGAAGACGAUAUCCCCACACUGCCUACCUCAGAGCAUAAAUGCAUAAAUUCUAGAGAAGAUGAAGACUUAAUUGAAAAUUUAACCCAAGAUGAGACGUCUAGGCUGGACCUUGGAUUUGAGGAAUGGGAUGUAGCUGGCCUGCCUUGGUGGUUUUUAGGAAACUUGAGAAGCAACUAUACACCUAGAAGUAAUGGCUCAACUGAUUUACAGACAAAUCAGGAUGUGGGUACUGCCAUUGUUUCAGAUACUACAGAUGACUUGUGGUUUUUGAAUGAGUCAGUAUC
rnacentral:sRNA from 1 species